UACGUAGGGUGCGAGCGUUAAUCGGAAUUACUGGGCGUAAAGCGUGCGCAGGCGGUUUUGUAAGCCAGAUGUGAAAUCCCCGGGCUUAACCUGGGAAUGGCAUGUGGGACUGCAAGGCUGGAGUGUGGCAGAGGAGACUGGAAUUCCUGGUGUAGCAGUGAAAUGCGUAGAUAUCAGGAGGAAUACCGAUGGCGAAGGCAGGUCUCUGGGCUGACACUGACGCUCAUGCACGAAAGCGUGGGGAGCAAACAGG
rnacentral:rRNA from 1 species